AUUGAACGCUGGCGGCAUGCCUUACACAUGCAAGUCGAACGGUAACGGGCCUUCGGGUGCCGACGAGUGGCGAACGGGUGAGUAAUACAUCGGAACGUGCCCGAUCGUGGGGGAUAACGAGGCGAAAGCUUUGCUAAUACCGCAUACGAUCUACGGAUGAAAGCAGGGGACCGCAAGGCCCUGCGCGGACGGAGCGGCCGAUGGCAGAUUAGGUAGUUGGUGGGAUAAAAGCUUACCAAGCCAACGAUCUGUAGCUGGUCUGAGAGGAUGAUCAGCCACACUGGGACUGAGACACGGCCCAGACUCCUACGGGAGGCAGCAGUGGGGAAUUUUGGACAAUGGGCGCAAGCCUGAUCCAGCCAUGCCGCGUGCAGGAUGAAGGCCUUCGGGUUGUAAACUGCUUUUGUACGGAACGAAAAGCCUUCUUUUAAUACAGGAGGGUCAUGACGGUACCGUAAGAAUAAGCACCGGCUAACUACGUG
rnacentral:rRNA from 1 species